CACGUAGGGGCCAAGCGUUUGUCCGGAUUAUUGGGCGUAAAGAGCUCGUAGGCGGUUCGACAAGUCGGGUGUGAAAACUCCGGGCUCAACCCGGAGACGCCACCCGAUACUGUCGUGACUGGAGUCCGGUAGGGGAGUGGGGAAUUCCUGGUGUAGCGGUGAAAUGCGCAGAUAUCAGGAGGAACACCGGUGGCGAAGGCGGUUCUCUGGGCCUGUGCUGACGCUGGAGGAGCGAAAGCGUGGGGAGCGAACAGG
rnacentral:rRNA from 1 species